GCAACGCGAAAACCUUACCUACCCUUGACAUGUCCGGAAUCCCGAAGAGAUUUGGGAGUGCGUCGCAAGAGAACCGGAACACAGGUGCUGCAUGGCUGUCGUCAGCUCGUGUCGUGAGAUGUUGGGUUAAGUCCCGCAACGAGCGCAACCCUUGUCAUUAGUUGCCAUCAUUUGGUUGGGCACUCUAAUGAGACUGCCGGUGACAAAACCGGAGGAAGGUGGGGAUGACGUCAAGUCCUCAUGGCCCUUAUGGGUAGGGCUUCACACGUCAUACAAUGGUCGGUACGGAGGGUUGCCAACCCGCGAGGGGGAGGCUAAUCCCACAAAGACCGAUCGUAGUCCGGAUCGCAGUCUGCAACUCGACUGCGUGAAGUCGGAAUCGCUAGUAAUCGUGGAUCAGCAUGUCACGGUGAAUACGUUCCCGGGUCUU
rnacentral:rRNA from 1 species